CAAGUCGAACGAUGAAGCCGGAGCUUGCUCUGGUGAAUUAGUGGCGAACGGGUGAGUAACACGUGAGUAACCUGCCCUUGACUCUGGGAUAACUGCUAGAAAUGGUAGCUAAUACCGGAUACGACCCUCGGCGGCAUCGCCAGGGGGUGGAAAGAAUUUCGGUCAAGGAUGGACUCGCGGCCUAUCAGCUAGUUGGUGAGGUAACGGCUCACCAAGGCGACGACGGGUAGCCGGCCUGAGAGGGUGACCGGCCACACUGGGACUGAGACACGGCCCAGACUCCUACGGGAGGCAGCAGUGGGGAAUAUUGCACAAUGGGCGCAAGCCUGAUGCAGCAACGCCGCGUGAGGGAUGACGGCCUUCGGGUUGUAAACCUCUUUUAGUAGGGAAGAAGCGAAAGUGACGGUACCUGCAGAAAAAGCACCGGCUAACUACGUGCCAGCAGCCGCGGUAAUACGUAGGGUGCAAGCGUUGUCCGGAAUUAUUGGGCGUAAAGAGCUCGUAGGCGGUUUGUCGCGUCUGCUGUGAAAUCCCGAGGCUCAACCUCGGGCCUGCAGUGGGUACGGGCAAACUAGAGUGUGGUAGGGGAGAUUGGAACUCCUGGUGUAGCGGUGGAAUGCGCAGAUAUCAGGAAGAACACCGAUGGCGAAGGCAGAUCUCUGGGCCAUUACUGACGCUGAGGAGCGAAAGCGUGGGGAGCGAACAGGAUUAGAUACCCUGGUAGUCCACGCCGUAAACGUUGGGAACUAGAUGUAGGGUCCAUUCCACGGAUUCUGUGUCGCAGCUAACGCAUUAAGUUCCCCGCCUGGGGAGUACGGCCGCAAGGCUAAAACUCAAAGGAAUUGACGG
rnacentral:rRNA from 1 species